rnacentral:rRNA from 1 species
UCUACGGGAGUCUGCAGUGGGGAAUAUUGGGCAAUGGGCGCAAGCAUGACCCAGCAACGCCGCGUGAAGGAAGAAGGCUUUCGGGUUGUAAACUUCUUUUCUCAGGGACGAAGCAAGUGACGGUACCUGAGGAAUACGCCACGGCUAACUACGUGCCAGCAGCCGCGGUAAUACGUAGGUGGCAAGCGUUGUCCGGGUUUACUGGGUGUAAAGGGCGUGUAGCCGGGUUGACAAGUCAGAGGUGACAUCCUGCGGCUUAACCGCAGAACUGCAUUUGAAACUGUUGAGCUUGAGUACUGGAGAGGCAGACGGAAUUACUAGUGUAGCGGUGAAAUGCGUAGAUAUGAGGAGG